rnacentral:rRNA from 1 species
UAGCGUAGGUGGCAAGCGUUAUCCGGAAUUAUUGGGCGUAAAGCGCGCGCAGGCGGUUUCUUAAGUCUGAUGAUGAAAGCCCACGGCUCAACCGUGGAGGGUCAUUUGGAAACUGGGGAACUUGAGUGCAGAAGAGAAAAAGCGGGAAUUCCACGUGUAGCGGUGAAAUGCGUAGAGAUGUGGAGGAACACCAGUGGCGAAAGGCGGCUUUUUGGU